UUGUCAGCCGCCGCGGUAAUACGUAGGGGGCAAGCGUUGUCCGGAAUUAUUGGGCGUAAAGCGCGCGCAGGCGGUCAUUUAAGUCUGGUGUUUAAUCCCGGGGCUCAACCCCGGAUCGCACUGGAAACUGGGUGACUUGAGUGCAGAAGAGGAGAGUGGAAUUCCACGUGUAGCGGUGAAAUGCGUAGAUAUGUGGAGGAACACCAGUGGCGAAGGCGACUCUCUGGGCUGUAACUGACGCUGAGGCGCGAAAGCGUGGGGAGCAAACAGGAUUAGAUACCCGCGUAGUCC
rnacentral:rRNA from 1 species